GUGAAUCAUCGAGUCUUUGAACGCACCUUGCGCCUCAUGGUAUUCCGCGAGGCAUGCCUGUUUGAGUGUCAUUAAAUUAUCAACCUCAGAAGCUUUUAUAGUUUUCUGAUGGCUUGGACUUGAGGUGUGCUGGACUUUCAUUAGUUCGGCUUCCCUUUUAAAUGCAUUCAGCGGUAGCCACUCGCUUCCGGCUAACAUCGACGUGAUAAUUAUCUUACAUCGUUGUCUACCGGUCCCAGAGUCCGCUUAUAAUGGUCUUCGGACAGCACACAAUGAUCAAUUUGACCUCAAAUCAGGUAGGACUACCCGCUGAACUUAAGCAUAUCAAUAAGCGGAGG
rnacentral:rRNA from 1 species